rnacentral:rRNA from 1 species
AGCGAACGCUGGCGGCAGGCUUAACACAUGCAAGUCGAGCGGGCACUUUCGGGUGUCAGCGGCGGACGGGUGAGUAACGCGUGGGAACGUGCCCUCUGGUUCGGAAUAACUCAGGGAAACUUGAGCUAAUACCGGAUACGCCCUCUUGGGGAAAGGCUUGCUGCCGGAGGAUCGGCCCGCGUCUGAUUAGCUAGUUGGUGAGGUAACGGCUCACCAAGGCGACGAUCAGUAGCUGGUCUGAGAGGAUGAUCAGCCACACUGGGACUGAGACACGGCCCAGACUCCUACGGGAGGCAGCAGUGGGGAAUAUUGGACAAUGGGCGCAAGCGUGAUCCAGCCAUGCCGCGUGAGUGGUGAAGGCCUUAGGGUUGUAAAGCUCUUUUAUCCGGGACGAUAAUGACGGUACCGGGUGAAUAAGCCCCGGCUAACUUCGUG